GAUGAACGCUGGCGGCGUGCCUAAUACAUGCAAGUCGAGCGAACAGAUGAGGAGCUUGCUCCUCUGACGUUAGCGGCGGACGGGUGAGUAACACGUGGAUAACCUACCUAUAAGACUGGGAUAACUUCGGGAAACCGGAGCUAAUACCGGAUAAUAUAUUGAACCGCAUGGUGCAAUAGUGAAAGACGGUUUUGCUGUCACGUAUAGAUGGAUCCGCGCCGCAUUAGCUAGUUGGUAAGGUAACGGCUUACCAAGGCAACGAUGCGUAGCCGACCUGAGAGGGUGAUAGGCCACACUGGAACUGAGACACGGACCAGAGUCCUACGGGAGGGCGCAGUAGGGAAUCUUCCGCAAUGGGCGAAAGCCUGACGGAGCAACGCCGCGUGAGUGAUGAAGGUCUUCGGAUCGUAAAGCUCUGUUAUUAGGGAAGAACCAAUGUGUAAGUAACUAUGCACGUCUUGACGGUAACUAAUCAGAAAGCAACGGCUAACUACGUG
rnacentral:rRNA from 1 species